UAGGGAAUCUUGGUCAAUGGGCGCAAGCCUGAACCAGCCAUGCCGCGUGUGCGAAGAAGGCCCUAGGGUUGUAAAGCACUUUCAGUCGCGAAGAAAUGCUCAAAGUUAAUACCUUUGAGAGUUGACGUUAACGACAGAAGAAGAUCCGGCUAACUCCGUGCCAGCAGCCGCGGUAAUACGGAGGGAUCGAACGUUAAUCGGAAUUACUGGGCGUAAAGCGCGCGUAGGCGGUUUGUUAAGUGGGAUGUGAAAGCCCCGGGCUCAACCUGGGAACUGCAUUCCAAACUGGCAGACUAGAGUAUGGUAGAGGGAGGUAGAAUUUCCUGUGUAGCGGUGAAAUGCGUAGAUAUAGGAAGGAAUACCGAUGGCGAAGGCAGCCUCCUGGACCAAUACUGACGCUGAGGUGCGAAAGCGUGGGGAGCAAACAGGAUUAGAUACCCGGGUAGUCC
rnacentral:rRNA from 1 species